GGAGAUGGGCAUCAGCUUCUUCAAGAAGAACAAAGCAGCAGUCGCAUCUCUACACCUCCAUGCUGUCACGAAAAACCCAGUGACACCUCUCCCUUCUCUAUAUAAUCAUUUUCUUCUUAAGAGCAAGCAAACCUUUCAAUCCUUCCCAGAAAAUCUUUCUUCAUUAACUUAUGAUUUGUUUCGUCUCCUAAAAUUUGCAAUAGAGAAAACUCAUAAAGAUUCCAAAUCGGAGCUCCGGUGACCUUUCGAUUUUGACCCUCUUAAAUAGUGUGUUUCUUCGAAAAUAGAACUUUGAACGAGUAUUCUGGUCUAAGUGGAGAGGGUCGAUUUGUUAUUGGCACGGGGUUUUGUUCAUGAUCCGUCGUGUUUGUAUCCCCGUUAGCUUCUUUGGCCGCUACUCAAUUAAAGUGGUUCGUGAGCUUGAGUGAUUUCGAAAAGGAAGUAACAGUACGUAAUUGAUUUGAGAAGAGAACAUAAUUACUUAACUUAGAGUUGGUGUGAGUUAAAAUAAGCUGAGUUUUCUCCGUGGAUAUUUUUGAAAGAGGCUGCUGCUUUUGGACGUUGCCUGAAACGAACACCAUCUUUGAAAGUUGUAGAGAAAAUCAAAGAUUAUCAAUAAAAUGAAGUGGGUGUUGGUUAAUUUAUUAAAAGAAGCUGUUUUGACACUUUGAAUAUUAGUUUGUAGAAAGUCUUGUAAUUUUGGCGUGAACAUUGAAAUGACAGUUAUGUAAGAAAUGGUCAAAGGAAAAUAGGAGAACUACUAGUUGUGUAUUGUUUUCUUUUCCUACGCGUUUUUAUGUUGGUUUAUUUGUUUAUCCUUUGGAUGACUUUGACGCUACUGGUAUCUUAUUUGCCUAUGUGAAUAAAUUAAUUAAAACCUUGA